GUCCUGUAUCCCAUCGAGGUUUCAGACCCCCUCUGAUUCCCUGGUGUUGAAGGAAGGUCAAGGGUCAUCUGUCCAGGAGCCUGUCCUGGCCUCCCCUGCUGACCCUCCUCUGGGUCCAGCCGACACCACUCCCUGGGCCAGCGGAGACCGUCCUCCCAMCGCAGCGGAUAACGUGGACCAUGUCCGCCUUGAUACCGCUCAGAACGCAGCAGUGUACUCUGCCCGUGUCCACACCCUGGGUCGCUAUGUGUUCAUCCUCCACUACCACCAGCCCCUCCACCCCACCUACCCUGUCCAGGUCUUCAUCAACGGUGGACGCAUCUGGCAAGGCCAUGCCAACGCCUCCUUCUGUCCCCAUGGUUACGGUUGCCGUAGCGUUCUGAUCUCGGAGAACCAGAUCAUUCUGGACGUGACGGACAACGAGAUCUUCCUGACUGUCCAGGUCCCUGACGGAAAAACUCUCUGGCUGGACUAUGUUCUGGUGGUGCCAGAGAGCAGCUACAGUUCCAGUUACCUGUCUGAACAGCCUCUGGACAAAUCAUAUGACUUCAUCAGCAACUGUGGACAGAACAGCUUCUA